GACGAACGCUGGCGGCGUGCCUAAUACAUGCAAGUAGAACGCUGAAGAGAGGAGCUUGCUCUUCUUGGAUGAGUUGCGAACGGGUGAGUAACGCGUAGGUAACCUGCCUUGUAGCGGGGGAUAACUAUUGGAAACGAUAGCUAAUACCGCAUAACAAUGGAUGACUCAUGUCAUUUAUUUGAAAGGGGCAAAUGCUCCACUACAAGAUGGACCUGCGUUGUAUUAGCUAGUAGGUGAGGUAACGGCUCACCUAGGCGACGAUACAUAGCCGACCUGAGAGGGUGAUCGGCCACACUGGGACUGAGACACGGCCCAGACUCCUACGGGAGGCAGCAGUAGGGAAUCUUCGGCAAUGGGGGCAACCCUGACCGAGCAACGCCGCGUGAGUGAAGAAGGUUUUCGGAUCGUAAAGCUCUGUUGUAAGUCAAGAACGAGUGUGAGAGUGGAAAGUUCACACUGUGACGGUAGCUUACCAGAAAGGGACGGCUAACUACGUGCCAGCAGCCGCGGUAAUACGUAGGUCCCGAGCGUUGUCCGGAUUUAUUGGGUGUAAAGCGAGCGCAGGCGGUUUGAUAAGUCUGAAGUUAAAGGCUGUGGCUCAACCAUAGUUCGCUUUGGAAACUGUCAAACUUGAGUGCAGAAGGGGAGAGUGGAAUUCCAUGUGUAGCGGUGAAAUGCGUAGAUAUAUGGAGGAACACCGGUGGCGAAAGCGGCUCUCUGGUCUGUAACUGACGCUGAGGCUCGAAAGCGUGGGGAGCGAACAGG
rnacentral:rRNA from 1 species